UACGGAAGAUCCAAGCGUUAUCCGGAAUUACUGGGCGUAAAGAGUUGCGUAGGUGCAGGUAAGCGAACAGUGAAGGUCACGGCUCAACCGUGAUACAUUGUCGACUCACAGCUAGAGCAUGAGAGAGUAGAUGAUUCUAGUGUAGAGUGAAUCGUAGAUAUAGAGACACCGAUGCGUAGGCAGUCUACUGCUCAUGCUGACACUAAGCACGAAGCGUGGAGCGAACAG
rnacentral:rRNA from 1 species